UACAGAGGUCUCAAGCGUUGUUCGGAUUCAUUGGGCGUAAAGGGUGCGUAGGCGGCGCGGUAAGUCGGGUGUGAAAUUUCGAGGCUUAACUCCGAAAUUGCAUUCGAUACUGCCGUGCUUGAGGACUGGAGAGGAGACUGGAAUUCAUGGUGUAGCAGUGAAAUGCGUAGAGAUCAUGAGGAAGACCAGUGGCGAAGGCGGGUCUCUGGACAGUUCCUGACACUGAGGCACGAAGGCCAGGGGAGCAAACGGG
rnacentral:rRNA from 1 species